UACCCCUGCAUCAUGAAAGAAAAGAUAUACAGUAACAGCACUGACUUUUUCAUCUGUGAGAUUCGAGGAACACCUGUUGCUACCUUUCAGCACUUGAAAAUAAUGUAUGGUGACGAGACGGUACACUUCUGGCCUCUAUCUUCAUUACAUCGUGUCGUUCUGAUCAUACGUGUUAUGAUGAUACCCUGUAUUAUUUGUGUGUUGGUGAUUAUCUGUCUUUGGCAAAAGUGGCUCACUGCUGAGAGGAACAAUCUCUGACCAUGACGUCAAACCUGGUGAACAUUUUGCUUCACAAUUAUCAACAAACACACAACAACUUAUAAUUUUUGAUUCCAUUUUCCACUUGUGAGUUACUUGGGGUUAAGUUCACUCUUUAGUCCCCAGAGUAUUUCAAGAGAGGCAUCCUUAACUAUAAAGUGAGUUAGAAGGGCUUCUUGUGGUCCUCAGUAUUUGGAUUUUUAUCUUCUUGGCAUGUUUAAUAUUGUUCAACUCAGGUGCAGUUUUAUCUUGGAGACCAGAUCAUA